CCUACGGGAGGCAGCAGUAGGGAAUAUUGCUCAAUGGGGGCAACCCUGAAGCAGCAACGCCGCGUGAAGGAUGAAGGUUUUCCGAUUGUAAACUCCUUUUGUUAGAGAAGUUAAUUACGGUAUCUAACCCUUCAUCCCCGGCCAACGCCGUUCCAGAAGCCGCGGUACCACGGAGGGUGCCAGCGUUACUCGGAAUCACUGGGCGUAAAGCGCGCGUAGACGGGAUAGCAAGUCAGAUGUGAAAUCCUAUGGCUUAACCAUAAAAUUGCAAUUGAAACUGUUAGUCUUGAGUAUAGGAGAGGUAGGUGGAAUUCGUGGUGUAGCGGUAAAAUGCGUAGAGAUCAAGAAGAACACUGAUUGCGAAGGCGACCUGCUAGAACGUAACUGACACUGAUGCGCGAAAGCGUGGGGAGCAAACAGGAUUAGAUACCCGUGUAGUC
rnacentral:rRNA from 1 species